rnacentral:lncRNA from 1 species
ACCAGUUUUCCUAUCAAACAAUUCAGCCAUGUGCCAACNGUGACACCUCAAGCUUUCUCUAGCAAAAGUAAAUGCAACACCUCCUAAGCAAAUAUCCUUGUAAAGAAAUUUAAUUAUCACCUCUGCACCACUAACUCAAUCACCGAAUGUGCUCUUUCAAUUGACAUAAAAAAAAACAAAAAUAACAAAAUGAAAUAGCAUGGAAAUUAAAGUAGCAUCUCGG